UUCGGUUUGACGUACAAUGAAUGUAGUAUAAAAUAAUUGUGGGGAUAUAAUAUAUUUUUGAUUUGUAGAAAAAUAAAAGAAAGAAUAAUAGAAGAAAAUGAGAAAAAGUAAGGUGUUUUUAGUUUUAAGUAAACAAAAAUGUGUGUUCUUCUUAAAAUUAUUUUUUCGAAAAGUUUUUUAAGCAGUAUUAGAUAUCUGAGUAAGGGCAAGUUUAGUAUUAAGGUCCAUCUAAUUUCAAUUGAUAAAAUAAAAUUAGAGCAAAAUAUAUAUAAGGAUAUACUUUUAUGUUUGCCGAUGAAAUCGUAAAAAAUACAUCAUAACCUAUUAAUUGCGACACAUGAUACGGGAUAAUACGUACGGAAACAUAUAAAUAUUAUUUCAUCAUAUUUUUUUUACGGCAUGUAAUAUAAUCUUUCCGGAAUCUCAAAUGAAGUAUAAAGAUUUCUUCAGAUAAAUAGCAUAGUAUGACCCAUCGGCUCAGAGAAAGUCUAUUAUGUCACACUUUUAUUACUUUAUCAGUAGUAAGUCAAUUAUAUUUCUCUUCUUAAGAGAAAAAUAUAAUAAAAAUAAUCUUUUAUUACUCGUGAUCAAAUGAAUCCAAGAGGACAAUCGUAUUGGUUGGGAUGCCACGUCAAUAACAUAACUAUGCAUUCUAAAUAUUAUCGUUCCUAGGAUGUCAACUGAUUAGAUUCAGGGUGAAUUUUCAAAAUACCCAAAUCCGAAUCCGAACCGGACUGUAAAGCUGAAAUUCGAAUUCAAACCCGAAUUCAAUGGAUUUAAAAAUUCAUAUCUAAAUCCGAAAUCCAACAAAAAAUUGGAAACCUGAAUCUGAGACCAAAAAUCCAAAAAUCCAAAUAAAAAAUAAUUAUUCCUGUUUUUUAUAUUUCAAAAUAUAUUACAUUAAGUUUAAAUUUUAAAUAUAAAAUCAAGUAUAACAUCAAAUAUUUAUACAUUAUAUAGGCUUCGUUUGGGAUUGCGGAAAAAUUACGUUACGUGCGGUGAAAAACGACGACGAAAAAAUGCCUUAUUUAUUUCCGUACGUAAGCAUAUUGCGGUUAAUCGGUUACGAUAUAUUUUCUGCGGUUCCAUCAGAGUACGAAGAAGCAUAUCUUUAUAUUCUUUUUUCAACUCCAUUUUAUCUAAUAAUGUUAGAUCUACCUCAAUACCAAACUAAGCCAUAGUGUAAAUUCAAUUCAGGUUCAAGUCGGGUUUGGGUUUGGGUUCAGAUCCGAUACAAACAAAAUCCAUUUGCAAAUCCAAAUCCGCCGGAUCUUCGUUUUUAAUAUCCGUAUUCGAAGCUAAAUAUCCAUUUAAUAUCAAAUAAAUCCGUUCCGUUUGGAUUCAGAUAAGAGUUUGGAUAUCUAAA
rnacentral:lncRNA from 1 species